rnacentral:rRNA from 1 species
CACGUAGGUGGCGAGCGUUGUCCGGAUUUACUGGGCGUAAAGGGAGCGUAGGAGGACUUUUAAGUGAGAUGUGAAAUACCCGGGCUCAACUUGGGUGCUGCAUUUCAAACUGGAAGUCUAGAGUGCAGGAGAGGAGAAUGGAAUUCCUAGUGUAGCGGUGAAAUGCGUAGAGAUUAGGAAGAACACCAGUGGCGAAGGCGAUUCUCUGGACUGUAACUGACGCUGAGGCUCGAAAGCGUGGGGAGCAAACAGGAUUAGAUACCCUGGUA